GAUGAACGCUGGCGGCGUGCCUAAUACAUGCAAGUCGAGCGAACAGACGAGGAGCUUGCUCCUCUGACGUUAGCGGCGGACGGGUGAGUAACACGUGGAUAACCUACCUAUAAGACUGGGAUAACUUCGGGAAACCGGAGCUAAUACCGGAUAAUAUAUUGAACCGCAUGGUUCAAUAGUGAAAGACGGUUUUGCUGUCACUUAUAGAUGGAUCCGCGCCGCAUUAGCUAGUUGGUAAGGUAACGGCUUACCAAGGCAACGAUGCGUAGCCGACCUGAGAGGGUGGUCGGCCACACUGGAACUGAGACACGGUCCAGACUCCUACGGGAGGCAGCAGUAGGGAAUCUUCCGCAAUGGGCGAAAGCCUGACGGAGCAACGCCGCGUGAGUGAUGAAGGUCUUCGGAUCGUAAAACUCUGUUAUUAGGGAAGAACAAAUGUGUAAGUAACUAUGCACGUCUUGAGGGUACCUAAUCAGAAAGCCACGGCUAACUACGUG
rnacentral:rRNA from 1 species